ensembl:lncRNA
AAUGGAGGAGGCGGUCAUGUCAAUUCUGCACAACUUAGAGAUGGAGAACACUGAGGUCCAUGAGAACAACCAUAAGCUGAAGAAGGAGAUUACCUUCUCUAGAAACCUGCUCAGCCAGCUCCUGAUGGAGAACACAUGUAGGAAGAAGUUGGUCCCACUGAAGCAGGAGAGCAAGGAGGUACAUCUUCAUUGUGCACUGAACCAGAAAUAUUUGGUUGACUUUAACAAGAACGAUAAAGACCAUCAACGGACAGAACCAGCAUUAUCAGGUCUCAGAAAGUGCAAGAGAGCUGGAAUUGGACACACAGCAGUAAGAGAGCUUCCUGAAGAAUAAGUUGCUUUCUCAGGAGUCCCUGAUGACCAACAUCCUGAAUGAAAACAGCACUUGAGAGACAACUUGGGGGACCGCCUUUCAUUAUGUGGGCUAGAGGAGAAACAGCAAUACAUCUGUGCUUCUAAAUGUUCCUUAAGAAUAUGCU